UACGGAGGGUGCUAGCGUUGUUCGGAAUUACUGGGCGUAAAGCGCGUGUAGGCUGCUUCGCAAGUCGGAUGUGAAAGCCCUGGGCUCAACCCAGGAAGUGCAUUCGAAACUGCAGAGCUGGAGUCCUGGAGAGGAAGGCGGAAUUCUCGGUGUAGAGGUGAAAUUCGUAGAUAUCGAGAGGAACACCGGUGGCGAAGGCGGCCUUCUGGACAGUGACUGACGCUGAGACGCGAAAGCGUGGGGAGCAAACAGG
rnacentral:rRNA from 1 species